rnacentral:rRNA from 1 species
GAUGAACGCUGGCGGCGUGCCUAAUACACGCAAGUCGAGCGAACAGACGAGGAGCUUGCUCCUCUGAUGUUAGCGGCGGACGGGUGAGUAACACGUGGAUAACCUACCUAUAAGACUGGGAUAACUUCGGGAAACCGGAGCUAAUACCGGAUAACAUGUUGAACCGCAUGGUUCAACAGUGAAAGACGGUCUUGCUGUCACUUAUAGAUGGAUCCGCGCCGCAUUAGCUAGUUGGUAAGGUAACGGCUUACCAAGGCAACGAUGCGUAGCCGACCUGAGAGGGUGAUCGGCCACACUGGAACUGAGACACGGUCCAGACUCCUACGGGAGGCAGCAGUAGGGAAUCUUCCGCAAUGGGCGAAAGCCUGACGGAGCAACGCCGCGUGAGUGAAGAAGGUCUUCGGAUCGUAAAACUCUGUUAUUAGGGAAGAACAAAUGUGUAAGUAACUAUGCACGUCUUGACGGUACCUAAUCAGAAAGCCACGGCUAACUACGUG